rnacentral:rRNA from 1 species
CCAGGCCUAACACAUGCAAGUCGAAUGGUAACAGGAAACAGCUUGCUGUUUCGCUGACGAGUGGCGGACGGGUGAGUAAUGUCUGGGAAACUGCCUGAUGGAGGGGGAUAACUACUGGAAACGGUAGCUAAUACCGCAUAACGUCGCAAGACCAAAGAGGGGGACCUUCGGGCCUCUUGCCAUCAGAUGUGCCCAGAUGGGAUUAGCUAGUAGGUGGGGUAACGGCUCACCUAGGCGACGAUCCCUAGCUGGUCUGAGAGGAUGACCAGCCACACUGGAACUGAGACACGGUCCAGACUCCUACGGGAGGCAGCAGUGGGGAAUAUUGCACAAUGGGCGCAAGCCUGAUGCAGCCAUGCCGCGUGUAUGAAGAAGGCCUUCGGGUUGUAAAGACUUUCAGCGGGGAGGAACCCAUUAAAGUUAAUACCUUUGCUCUUUGACGUUACCCUCAGAAGAAGCACCGGCUAACUCCUUGCCAUCAGUCGCGGUAGUACGGACGGUGCAAGGUUAAUCCUAAUUACUGGGGCGUAUAGCGCACGCAACGCUUUGUUAAAUCAGAUGUGGAAUCCCCGGGCUCGACCUGGGAACUGCAUCUGAUACUGGGGAGCUUUGAUUCUCGUAAACGGGGUAGAAUUCCGGGUGAAACGGCA